rnacentral:rRNA from 1 species
UACGUAGGGUCCGAGCGUUGUCCGGAUUUAUUGGGCGUAAAGAGCUCGUAGGCGGUUUCGUAAGUCGGAUGUGAAAACUCAGGGCUCAACCCGGAGACGCCAUCCGAUACUGCGAUGACUGGAGUCUGGUAGGGGAUCACGGAAUACCUGGUGUAGCGGUGAAAUGCGCAGAUAUCAGGUGGAACACCGAUGGUGAAGGCAGUGAUCUGGGCCAGUACUGACGCUGAGGAGCGAAAGCGUGGGGAGCAAACAGG